rnacentral:lncRNA from 1 species
CAGUUGGAGGUUCAAUAUUUUUUUUAGAGGGUCUGGGAUUCAGUUAAAGCUAAAUUUAUAUAUAUAUAUAUGCAUAUAUACAUAAAUACAUGACAUGUUUUCUUUAUUGUAGAAAUGGUCCUUAUUCUCUAUGACCCAGUGCAGUGUGACCCCCUAACCUGAUACACGGUAGUUCUUCACAACUUGACUACAAGUAGAAAAUUAGAGUUUUCCAGGCUUAAGAGCCUGUUGGACUUUUAUGAAAUACAGUGAAAUGUCACUAAUUUCAGUGGAAUUAGCUUGGUGUAACUCAGCAAGGAUUUUGCUUCAUGGCCACAGUGAAACUACACAGAAUGAACACAAAGGUGAAGAGUGAUCUAACACUAUUAAAUAACAGCACAGAAGAACACCUACAAGGUGUAUUUGCAAA